rnacentral:rRNA from 1 species
GAUGAACGCUGGCGGCGUGCCUAAUACAUGCAAGUCGAGCGAACAGAUGAGGAGCUUGCUCCUCUGACGUUAGCGGCGGACGGGUGAGUAACACGUGGAUAACCUACCUAUAAGACUGGGAUAACUUCGGGAAACCGGAGCUAAUACCGGAUAAUAUAUUGAACCGCAUGGUUCAAUAGUGAAAGACGGUUUUGCUGUCACUUAUAGAUGGAUCCGCGCCGCAUUAGCUAGUUGGUAAGGUAACGGCUUACCAAGGCAACGAUGCGUAGCCGACCUGAGAGGGUGAUCGGCCACACUGGAACUGAGCCACGGUCCAGACUCCUGCGGGACGCAGCAGUAGGGAAUCUUCCGCAAUGGGCGAUAGCCUGACGGAGCAACGCCGCGUGAGUGAUGCCGGUCUUCGGAUCGUAAGACUCUGUUAUUAGGGAAGAACAAAUGUGUAAGUAACUCUGCACGUCUUGACGGUACCUAAUCAGAACGCCACGGCUAACUACGUG